ACCAAAACCCAGGACUACUCCUUCACCAGGGACCAUGAGACCAGAGUUGGAGUCUGGGGGAAGUGGUGGCCCCUUCAACAGUGCCUGAAGAUGCUCACUGGAAGAGAGAAGUCUUCCCAUCCCCAGUAGCAAGUGCUCAAAGUAACUGGUUUACAAAGAAUCUGAGAACUAAAGAUGGUGAUAACAGAGCACGCACUUACGCUGCGCAGCAUUUGCCCGGGAUGUGACAAAAGAUGGCUCGUGAGCAGAAAGAAAGCAAAAUAGUCCCACCAUCACCCUGUGCAAUAGUGGUUCGCAAGACAGAAGCUGAAACUGAAGUUGCAACAGCAGUGUUUUUAGAUUUAGAUUCACUCCAAGGAAACUGCAGGUUUUCUGCAACACAUCGAGACCCUGAAGUUUUAGCAGAAAUUAACAACAACGUCCCUGCG